AUUGAACGCUGGCGGCAUGCUUUACACAUGCAAGUCGAACGGCAGCGGGGAGGAGCUUGCUUCUCUGCCGGCGAGUGGCGAACGGGUGGGUAAUACAUCUGAACGUGUCGAGAAGAUGGGGAUAACCACCCGAAAGGGUGGCUAAUACCGCAUAGAUUCUGAGGAAGAAAGCUCGGGACCUGGGAAGAGGCCUGGCGCUUUUUGAGCGGCCGAUGUCGGAUUAGCUAGUUGGUGAGGUAAAGGCUCACCAAGGCGAAGAUCUGUAGCGGGUCUGAGAGGAUGAUCCGCCACACUGGGACUGAGACACGGCCCAGACUCCUACGGGAGGCAGCAGUGGGGAAUUUUGGACAAAGGGGGCAACCCUGAUCCAGCCAUGCCGCGUGUAUGAAGAAGGCCUUAGGGUUGUAAAGUACUUUUGUUAGGGAAGAAAAGUCAGCUGUGAAUAAUGGCUGAUACUGACGGUACCUAAAGAAUAAGCACCGGCUAACUACGUG
rnacentral:rRNA from 1 species